ACCAAGGCGACGAUCUAUAGGGGUUCUUGAUAGGAAGGUCCCCCACACUGGCACUGAGAUACGGGCCAGACUCCUACUGGAGGCAGCAGUAAGGAAUAUUGGUCAAUGGGCGAGAGCCUGAACCAGCCAUGCCGCGUGCAGGAAGACGGCCUUCUGGGUAGUAGACUGCUUCUAUACGGGAAGAAAAAGGUCUUGCGAGGCCAAUUGCCGGUACCGGAUGAAUAAGCACCGGUUAACUCCGUGCCAGCAGUCGCGGUAAUACAGAGGGUGCAAGCGUGGUCCGGAUUUAUUGGGUAGAAAGGGUGUGUAUGCGGGAGUUCAGGUCAGUGGUGAAUGUCUUGAGCUUAAUUGAAGAAGUGCCAUUGAAAGUGGAUGACUAGAGUAUAGUCGAGGUAGGCGGAAUUUAUGGUGUAGCGGUGAAAUGCAUAGAUACCAUAUAGAACACCGAUCGCGAAGGCAGCUUACUAGGCUAUAACUGACGCUGAGGCACGAACGCAUGGGUAUCGAACAGGAUUAGAUACCCUGGUAGUCCAUGCUGUAAAUGAUGCUCACUAGCUGUCGGCGAUAUAAGUUCACGCGGAUAUAGGCGAAACGCGAUAAGUGCCCCACCUGGGAGAGUACGUUC
rnacentral:rRNA from 1 species